GGGGGGCGGGGGGGGGGGGCUGGGCGCGUGCGGGGGGGGCGGAGGGGGCGGGGUUGUGGGGGGUGCUCGAGGGGGGGGGGGGGGAGGGGCACGGGGGUAAGCUGCCCUUGACUUUGGGAUAACUGCAGGAAACUGGGGCUCAUCCCGGGUAGGAGCGCCUGCUGCAUUGGUGGUUUUGUGCAGUUUCGGCGGUGGGGGAUGGCCUGGCGGCUUCUCCGUUGGUUGGUGGGGUAGUGGCUUACCAAGGCUUUGACGGGUAGCCCGCCUGAGAGGGUGACCGGCCACAUUGGGACUGAGAUACGGCCCAGACUCCUACGGGAGGCAGCAGUGGGGAAUAUUGCACAAUGGGCGGAAGCCUGAUGCAGCAACGCCGCGUGCGGGAUGACGGCCUUCGGGUUGUAAACCGCUUUCGCCUGUGACGAAGCGUGAGUGACGGUAAUGGGUAAAGAAGCACCGGCUAACUACGUG
rnacentral:rRNA from 1 species